rnacentral:rRNA from 1 species
AACGAACGCUGGCGGCGUGCCUAACACAUGCAAGUCGAGCGAAGUGAGUACUACGGUACGAACUUAGCGGCGGACGGGUGAGUAACGCGUGGACAAUCUACCCUGUAGACUGGGAUAACACCUCGAAAGGGGUGCUAAUACCGGAUAAUGUCGAGAAGCGGCAUCGCUUUUCGAAGAAAGGAGAGAAUCCGCUAUAGGAGGAGUCCGCGUCCCAUUAGCUAGUUGGUGAGGGUAACGGCCCACCAAGGCGACGAUGGGUAGCCGGCCUGAGAGGGUGAACGGCCACACUGGAACUGAGACACGGUCCAGACUCCUACGGGAGGCAGCAGUGGGGAAUAUUGUGCAAUGGGGGAAACCCUGACACAGCAACGCCGCGUGAGCGAAGAAGGCCUUCGGGUUGUAAAGCUCAAUAGUAUGGGAAGAUAAUGACGGUACCAUACGAAAGCCCCGGCUAACUACGUGCCAGCCGCCGCGGUAAAAC